rnacentral:lncRNA from 1 species
CACUCUUCCACUCUCCCAGAGCUGCCUGGACAGAGAAAUGUGUUGCCCAGGCUGCUCUGGAACUCCUGGGGGAAAGUGAUCCUCCUGCCUAGGCCUUCCAAAGUGUUGUGAUUACAAACGUGAGCUACCUGCCUGGCCAAGGAUCUGGAAUUUUUGUUGUUAACACUCCAGGAGGAAACCUGGCUGAGGAUAAUGACUGAGAUUACUUAUUGUAAGAGAAGGCUGCUGAAGUUUAGAAAAACACACCUAUCC